GCAAACUUGGUCAUUUAGAGGAAGUAAAAGUCGUAACAAGGUAACCGUAGGUGAACCUGCGGUUGGAUCAUUAUUGAAAUUUUCAAUAAACUAGAGAGGGGGGUGUUUAGCCAUUUUUUGGCUAGCCCCCCCUCUCUAGCUUUACCCACACCUUUGUGAACCGUCUAUUGUCUCUGGUGGGAUUUAAAAGGUGGCUCUUUUCUUUUUUAAAAAAGAAAUUCCUUUUACCCGCCGCUUUAAAGACUCGAAGAAUUUUGAUUUUUGCCUUUAUUUUUUUUUAAAAAAAAGCAAUAAACAACUUUUGACAACGGAUCUCUUGGCUCUCGCAUCGAUGAAGAACGCAGC
rnacentral:misc_RNA from 1 species